rnacentral:piRNA from 1 species
UGAUCGGAGGACAUGUUUUAACUGCA